rnacentral:misc_RNA from 1 species
GAUGAAGAACGUAGCGAAAUGCGAUACUUGGUGUGAAUUGCAGAAUCCCGUGAACCAUCGAGUCUUUGAACGCAAGUUGCGCCCGAAGCCAUUAGGCCGAGGGCACGCCUGCCUGGGCGUCACACGUCGUUGCCCCCCAUCUACUCCUUCGGGAUUGCGGGGGGCGGAUGAUGGCCUCCCGUGCGCCACGCCGCGCGGUUGGCAUAAAUGCCAAGUCCUCGGCGACGCACGCCACGACAAUCGGUGGUUGCGAAACCUCGGUUGCCCGUCGUGUGCGGUCGUCGCGCAUCGAGGGCUCGAAAAAAUUGCUGGGUUCCGGCUCGGCUUUCAACGCGACCCCAGGUCAGGCGGGGUUACCCGCUGAAUUUAAGCAUAUCAAUAAGCGGAGGA